GAGAUAGCGCCGAGACAGCAUGGACGCCGGGAGCCUGGGAAAGCCAACUGUACCACAGGAGUCUAAACUGUAGCUAGGAAUAGAAGUACGCUCAUUUUAGCUAUUAGAAGGUUUGCCUGAUACUCUGGCUCUUUAUUUCGAGGAUGUCUAGCUCACCUGUGAUAUAACUCAGACCCCAUUUCACUCAUUUCUUAAACUAGGAAUGGGGCAGAAUUUCCCAGCAUCUCUUCCAGCUCCCAGGGAGAAGGUCUGGGACCUAUGUUCUACCAACCAAAUACACUCUCAUGAAGCUCUCAUUUGGAAGUCAGCAACAUGCAGACACAGACUGGGUUCUGAGCAUCUAUGGUGCAGAUGAAGAUGAUGGCAGGAGCUGUGGAGGCAGUAGAAUCCUCAUCAAGCCACUUCUGUGUGAGAUGCCGGGCUGUGUUCCUAUGAGCUUAGCCUUGAGCUUCUUUUUUGCCAGACCUCCCAAUGAAUCACCGAGCACCUAAUAACUCCCAGCCUCUAGACCUGCAGUAGCAUGAAGAGGUCUGAGGAAGCUGUGCGUCCCUCAAGAAAGCAAUUCUUUAUUGCCCAUCAAAGAUGAAUCCAUAGGGGAUCAUUAACAAGGAGAUCAUCCCAGAGAGCAGCUUCUAGAAUCACCAACCAAACAGAAGAUUUGUCAGAAGAACAAAGACCUCAAAAUGAGAAGGAAUGUGUUCUGGACUUAAAACAUUGCUCAGCCUCAUGAAAUAAAGAAAUAAAGAAAACAAACAAGUAAAUAAAAACAAGAUCUUUAUGGAUGUGGCAGAAAGCUUUGCAAGCCAAGAAAGUCUUCUAUCCAGGUGAUGCAAAUAACUGUAAAACUUCAGACUUCUUGAACUACAAAGAUGAACUCUGCCAACCCAAGUUCUAGUACUUCCUCUACUCCCAGCCUGACCCCCACUGUUUCUUGGUUUCCUCACUCCUUCUCUUUCUGUUUGACUCUUGAGAGUAAUAAACUCAGCCAAGUCCU
ensembl:lncRNA novel transcript